ensembl:lncRNA
UUUGGCCACCUGUGGCGAAGAACUGACUCAUUUGAAAAGACCCUGAUCUGGGAAAGAUUGAAGGCGAGAGAAGGGGAUGACACAGGAUACAAUGGGUGGAUGGCAUCACCGACUCAAUGGACAUGAGUUUGAGUAAACUCCGGGAGUUAGUGAUGGACAGAGAAGCCUGCUGUGCUGCAGUCGGUGGAGUCGCAGAGUCGGACAAGACUGAGCAACUGAACUGAACUGAUGAAGCCAUUUCCCAACCUCUUUCUUAAUCUCUGUGGCUUGACCAGCCUGUUUCAUUCAACAUCCAUUUGUGGGAUACGCUGUAACCAAGGGGAUCCUGGCACGGUGGAUACUGAGGCAUUGAGAUACAGAAUUGACAUCAGCCUGGAAGUGCUCAUAGAGAACCAAGGGAUAAUGAAGUUUCCUGGUGCUGUGGGGACGAGAGGAGGAAUCAAGCCCAUUUUGAACCUUGAAGGAUGCAUGAGUGGCUGGCAAAGUAGGAAGCAAAAUACAAUGCCCUUUGAAAUGGAAACAGCCAAAGCACAGUAAAGGCCCCACCCCUGCCAUCUACUCAAUGUUUAUUGAACCACUACCAUUUAC